rnacentral:lncRNA from 1 species
CAAUUUUGACAACAUAAAAAAAAAUACAAAAAAAACCUAACCCUGGUUUUUCAACCGACCCAGCAGCUGCUCCCACUCCAGCUUUCCCAGACCGUCUUGUUCUCUUUUUCUUCCAGCGGCGGCGGCAGCAGCCAGCCACCUCGUCGCCUCCUUCAAUCAGCGUCGCCGACCGGACAAACGCUCCCUCUCUCCACCGCAGCUCCAACAACUACAGACGACAACCGUGCCAGAUCUGUCACCGGAGCAAACCAUAACUAAAAAAAGGAAUUAAGAACAGAUCCGAAAACAGUUAAAGAAAAACUAAAAUCGACUGUGUUGUUGCGAUUUUUGUUUGUUAUUGCAGGUGAUUGUGUUCCUCACAACCAGCAAGGAAGGGAAGGGGAGAAGAAGCUGAGCCAGAUCAUCCACUUCUCGUUUUCUUCCUGCGGCGGCGCGUGAGUCCACGCGCCGCCAGUAACGGUGGCGCGUGAGUCCACGCGCCGCCAGUAACGGUGGCGCGUGGGAAGACGCGCCGCCACUGUUCCUGCGGUGCAGAAGGGCUUCCCUGUAAUUUCUGGAUUUUUAGGGACUGUUUUUGUAAUUUUUAGGAUUAUGUUAUUGUAAUAUUAUUGUAAUUUUUGUUUAGUUUGUUUAGAAAUUGUAUUUUGUAUUGUGGAUGUAAAAACAAAAGGAACAAAAGAAAGGAAAAGAAAAGAAAAGAAACAAAAAUAUAGUAAGAGUGAAUGUGUGUGUGUUUGUAUUUUUUUUUUUAUAUAUAUAUAUUUUUUAUGAUAAAAUUGCAAAGAUUAAAGAAGAAUUUAAUAUUUUGAUUGGAUCACGGUUAAGAAUUAUUAACUUAUACGUAAGUUGUAUUUCUAAUAUCCGAUGAAAAAACAAUUAUUAAAACUUCUUUAAACACAUUAAAUUCGCGAAGCAGCUUACCUCAGGUAGGGUGCGUUAGGGGUGCUAAUACCUUCCCUAACCACAACCAGUCCCUUACCCGCGAAUCUCUGAUAAGACCAGUACAUCCGGUUUCCUAGUAGCCUUCAAUAAAUUACUAGGUGGCGACUCCAACGAACCAAUUCAAAUCAAACAUAACAACAGAUAAAAUCGCCAGCCGAUGCCGCGCGGAUUUUUUAUGACGUGCGACAAAAUGGCGACUCCACUGGGGAAGGUACUGUUUCUGACAAUAUUGGACUAAGCUUUGUGUAUUUGAUGUGUUUAAGUUUUUGCAUUUUUGUCUUGUUUUAUCUUUGUUUUAUCCAUGUAUUUUUAGAAUUGUUUCAUGCAUCACCUGUAUUUAUUUUUUAAAGCACACACAAGCUUCUAAGUUAGGUGGUGAAUUAGCGAUCUGCCCUAUGACUAUUGGUCAGGGUUCAGAUGCGUGAAAAACCGAACUCAUAUCUGAGUGCCUGCUUGGUAAUGGUGGGUAGACGUACCUUAACUAUUCCUUGCAACGCCCCCAUACUGUCUUUACGAAGAACGUCACUGGGCAGAUAUGAGACCCUUUUGAGACCAGGUAGAAAACCUACCCAUGAUCACAUAAUGAAUAGAACCUAUCCUUAGGUUGUAUGUGCUAUUUUUAUUUGCAUCAGGGCAAACCCUUCUUGAAGCAUCUUGAACUCAAGACUUGUGGGUGACACAAUGACCGUCACUCAGAAAAUUUUCAUUGUAGAGUUUGGGCAAGAAUCAAGAUUCUUGUUUCAUCAUGCAAGAGUUACGACCAUAUUGUCACCCCUCGAAGGGCGAGUUCUUCAUAUAGUUUGCAUGUUCAUACAUUUAUCAUGCAUGUACCGGGAGGAAAAAUAGGUUCCCCCAUCUGAGCUUUGCUACACCUGAUUGAACAAAGAUGAUGGGAAAUGAAGAAAGGGGUCAAAGAGAAGCUCAUCAUCAAAGGUGAAGUAGCUAGACCCAGAUCUCCCUGAACAAGUGUAGAGCAUCAGAGGGAAAGGGAAUGUCUACACAGUCUUCUGUGGGAACACUGCUUGUCCAUGUCCCAUUGAAGUUACACCUCCUCUUUUCAGUCAUGAAUAAUUGCAGUAAUGCCUUCAGUCAUCAGCUAAUGACAACCUUUGUUCUUGUUCAGUUGCACUGAUAAUUAUUCAUCGCCUCCGUAUCUGCUAAUGGAACCAAAUAACUACUAGCCUUCUGUGCAUGGUGUGUUAGCCUUCUUUGACGUUACCCCAACUGUUAGCUCAAUUCCAGUUCAGCGGCACAAGAUGUAAAAAAAAAAAAAAAAAAAAAACCCCGAAAAAAAAAACCAUGAUUCGACCCUGAACUUCUACGUUGCAGAGCUCUCUCUACAAAAAUCCGUUUAUGGCUCUGCAAGUGGGGAAUGCAAGAGGAGAUGUAGAAGUUUCAAAUGAUAUGAAAAUUUACCCCACCAGUUUCAGCAUCGAAACACUGUAGUAGGCAGUAAAGCCAGACUUGAGCUAGAAAACAGGAGCAAAUAUAGAACUUCACCGUGGCAGAGCUCUCUCUGCAGAAAUCUGUUUGUAGCUCUGCAAGUGGAGAAUCCAAGAAGGGAUGCAGUAGUUUCUGAUCAUCUAUAAUUUUCUCUCAUCAGUGUUAGCUUGAAAAUGCAAAAGUAGGGAAAAGAGACAAACCUCGGCUGAAAAAUAGAAAGAAGAUUGAAACUUCAACAGAGCAGAGCUCCCUCUACAGGUGUCUGUUUGAUGCACCGUCAGUGAUGAAUCAAAUAGGAGACAAAGGAGUUUUAGAUUCAUCAGGUUCUCCCCUAGUUGAGACAACGCGUGAUUUCACACAUCAGUAGUGGCAGUGCUGCAUGUUUCUGUGCGCUGCCAAGAUUACCUAGUUAUUGGAAGGCUCUCCAACAACCCUCAAACAACCAUAACAACAUGAGAAGAUUGACAUGAUGUUGUGAAGAUUGUCAAAAGAAUUGAACAAGCUAUGAAGAGAGGAAAGAUUGAAGGAUUUGUCAUGGAUUCCAGAAUUGUGAAGAGAGUUGAAUCAGAAGAUGACUCUCGAUUGAGAAACCUCAAUUAUUUUGCCUAGUCAAGUCUCGCUCAAAGCACCAACUACUCCAAUGUCUUUGCCAAAGAUAGACAUUCCUUUGCCAUGUGGGUUUAUUUACUAGCAUCUGCCAGAUUCCAGACUUAAUGCCUGACUCCGACAAAACCCAUGCAACCACCGUUUUCUAGGUGGUAUAAUCCAGACAAGAGAUGUGAUGUCAUGGUGGGGUCCUCAGCCAUUUCAAUUGAACAAUUGCAAGAAUCGAGUCCGGAAGUUGGUGAGCAAAAGACGAGAGGAAUCUGUGAAGGAGCUUGUCAUCGAUCAUUUUGUCGUCAGAACAUCCUCAGAAUGACGAGUGAUCGAAAUUGCUUGGCAAAACAGAGAUAUUGCCAAAGAGGCUGAUCUAAGAAGGGGUUAAACUGUCAAUCAUUUUUGUUAUGGAUUUUGCCAUCUUGCAUUUUGUUUUGGGGUCACAUCUCAUCCUUGAACGAAACAUGUCUUUCCUUUGUCUUCCUGUUGUUUUGAAAUCAAGAGAUGCUUCUUUCAAAGGGUAUUUUUACAAAAUAUUUUGAUCAAGCUCCAACAUGCGAUUAAGAUUAAUCAAUCCUGAAGAUUAAAAGUAUUUUGAUUGCAGAAAUAACUCGAUGCUUGAAAAUGACAUGAGGUGACGAAACAAUUUUGAACUCAUACCUCCUGAAACUGAACCACACAUCAUAUAACUAAGUUUUAGCAGUAUGCAUAAUGACAUGUAGUGGAUUCAGUAGUUAUGGACUCGUGAAUCAUGACUCUUACAAGUCCAAAUCAUUACAUUGGAUGAGGUCAAAGUUUAUCGGUUCUAACCGACCUUGCUUGAAAUGAGAAAAGGCCAUCUUUGUUAUCCUUUCACAUUUCUUGAAAUAUUAUCCCUUGUGGUCCCCAUUUGAGCCUGGUAAAAUAUUUUCUUUCAAGAAACCUUGACUAGGAUCACACCCCACACUGGGGGCAAUGAGAGAUAUGUUAUUAGGAAGGAUGAAGACACUGAUAGAAUCAAUGAAAAAAGAAAGGCUUAGAAUAAAAGCCCAAUGAUUGAGAAAGGGAGAACAAGAAAAGCCAUAGAUUGAGGGCCAUCCAAGAAAACUUUGAGGAAGGUUAUGUAAAAGCAAAAAAAGUGGAAAUGAAGGAGAAUGCCUAUCAAUUCUAAGAGGGGCAAAAGAGGUUUCAAUGGAAGAAAGACACAACAAAUGUCAAAAGUCAACACCAAAAAAUCAAGUUUCAUGUCUUUUGGUGUGUCUAGGAUAAAGCCUUUAGUGUCUUCAAAAUUUUUUAGAUUCAUUAUUCAUCAGAGAAAGUUGGAUUUGCAUUAUGACCUAUGUUAAGAGAAUUCUGAUAUUUGAGAUUAACAAGGUUAUAUCACUUUCUCUACUAUGACAACAAGAGAAAGAGAGUUGAUGAAUAGUUGAUGUUGAUCCUAGGUCUUUGAAACCCUCAAACACCUUUUGAGCCUGAAUUUUCCUUUCUUUCAUAAGCCAUGAACCAUAGCCUGCAUUACGUGCUUUUAAAAGCCCUUUUUAAUCAAGUAAGCAAUCUGAACCGAUAAAUGACGAUCUCAAAACUUGAAGAGUUUUCCAUAAGAGUCAUAGCUUCAUGGAUUAAGCUACUGGUUAUUAUGCAUGCUGAUAAAAUUGGUGUAAAAAAAAAAAACAAUCUUUCUUGAUGAAUCCUCAAGUUUUGACUUGAGUCUUUUGUUUUUUGAAAUUCACAGAAGGUCACCUCAUUGUAGACCGUGAAAAGAUAUACCCAAGAUCAAAGAUUAAAACUAACAUAAAGAACCAUGAAAAAAGUCAUUUUAAACUUACAACGGGUCCAUUUCUGUUUUCAAAAUACAAGACAAUCAAAGGAUUACAUUGAAUGAUGUGUGUUGGGUCUUUGACCAAAAAGCAUGAUAUUUAAAAGAUCUUUUCCAAAAUAGAUAUCUCUCUAAUUUCAUUUCAACAAUUAGACUUGAAUUGACAUGAUCUUUGAAAUAUGAGAGUUGAUUCCAAAACAAGAAAGAUUGUUAAACAACAAGAACAUCGACCGAAUUUGCAAAAUCCUUGACAAGAAUGACAUCAACAUUUCUCGACACUCCUUGAAAAGUUGACCACCUAGAGGCAACACAGUGGAUCAAGGGUAGGAAAACAAAUAGUAUUCAGAUCAGCUGGGGGCAAUGAAAGAUGAUUAAAUGAUGAAUCAGUGUACUGAAGACAAUGGUGUUCAAAGAAAGAUAAUCAAUGAACGAGCACAUUCAGAUCAUAUUGGGGGCAAUGUUGUUCAAAGAUAGUCCAUGAUCUAGUGAACCCCGUCAACAAUCGGGAAAGCAAAGAUACACUUGAAGGAAAUCUUUUGAAACAUGGCUAUCGACCGAUGUGGGCGUACAGUUGCAUUCGAACGAAUAUGAAAAGAUGCACACCACCAAGAUUGAUUGCGGAACAAUGUUGUACUUGAAGGAUAAUGUCAUAUUAUCAUCUCCAACAUGGCUAUGACUUUUGAACGAUGUUAUCGCAUAGUUGUAUUUGAAUGAAUAUUGGAAGGAUGCACUCAUGAAGACUGACUGUGGGACCAUCUUGUUUUGAAGCUCGAAGGCGCACUUCAUCGCAUGAAUAUGGGUGAUAACAUGAACAUCAUUGAUGAUGUCAAGACAUUUCUUUCCACUAUCUGAUUUGACAAACUGAGAGAAAUCCAUGAGAAAGAACAUUGAGCAUACAACGAUGAGUCUUUCACUGCAAGCUAUGAGAUGCAUGUCUGGACGACUAGAUGAUUUCCAUGAAGACUGGUGAUAACAUAUACUUGAAGAGUAUUGUUUCAGCUUGAGGCAAGUUCAUGACUGAUUAACAAUCUUGAUGGGUUGGCAUGAUGCACACAACCAAUCAGAGGAUAAUUCUCAGAAGAAUCCAGGAGAGAAAAUCCUUCAUGAUGAAUCAAGCAACACCACACUUGGGGGCAGAGUCAAGCUUGAUAAACAACAAGAGCAGUAAUCAUCGUAGACAGCCCGAGAUGGGCACUACACUUACAUUUGAGUGGAAGGCUAGCAUACGAAUGAGCCAGUACAUGGGAAGGACAAAUAAAGCUUUGGAAUGCAAACAAAGGCACCCUGUGAUGAUGGAACAUCGAAGAGGGGGGACCUAUAUUUCGAAUCAGGUAAGGAUGCAUGCAUGUCAGCUAACGUUAAAACAUUGUACAUAUUUUUUAUUUUGUUGCAGGAAAAAUCCUCAAUGUAGUUUAGCAAGAUUGGGGACCAAAAAAAAGAGAGAGAGAAAACAAAAAAGGAGAAUCAUUGAGCUGAUAAUGACAGAGAAUCAUGUUGUGACCUUGGAACGGGAAGAAGAUGAGAUAAGCCUUUUUGUUAGGAAAAUCUCAAAGAAAUGAAAAGAUCAACCUUGCAAUCAGGAAGCAUCGAGUUUUCAAACCCUGCGAUCUAGAAUUAUCAAGAAGCACCAAGUUUUCCGGCCCUUCUUCUAUCAUCCCUUCAGGACUCCGCCAGGUAAGUCCCAUUUUUCACACUUGUCACAUCACAUCUUUUAUUUGGGUAGGUCACCCAUAACAAUGAGACCAAUUCAUAUUUUUUAUAUCCUCCGCCUGGGUAGGUCACCCAUAACAAUGAGACCACUUCACAUUUUUUCUAUCCUCCACCUGGGUAGGUCACCCAUUACAAUGAGACCACUUCAUAUUUUUUCUAUCGUCCACUUGGGUAGGUCACCCAUAACAAUGAGACCACUUCACAUUUUUUCUAUCCUCCACCUGGGUAGGUCACCCAUAACAAUGAGACCACUUCACAUUUUUUCUAUCCUCCACCUGGGUAGGUCACCCAUAACAAUGAGACCACUUCAUAUUUUUUCUAUCCUCCACCUGGGUAGGUCACCCAUUACAAUGAGACCACUUCAUAUUUUUUCUAUCUUCCACCUGGGUAGGUCACCCAUUAUAAUGAGACCGCACUUCACAUUCUUUCCAUUUGGGUAGGUCACCCAUCAUAAUGAGACCGUUUUCCACAUUAUUUUUCUUGGGUAGGUCACCCAUACAAUGAGACCAUCAUUUUUCUUGGGUUCGUCACCCAUACAAUGAGACCAUCAUUUUUCUUGGGUUCGUCACCCAUACAAUGAGACCAUCAUUUUUCUUGGGUUCGUCACCCAUACAAUGAGACCAUCAUUUUUCUUGGGUUAGUCACCCAUACAAUGAGACCAUCAUUUUUCUUGGGUUCGUCACCCAUACAAUGAGACCAUCAUUUUUCUUGGGUUCGUCACCCAUACAAUGAGACCAUUUGUUCCACAUUCUUUGUUUUGGUUUAAUGAGGUCGCCAGAUGGGAUCUCAUGUAGCUUUGGUUAAAGGGAAUCGCCAGAUGGGAUUUCAGGUUGACCGAGUUACGUAACAUCUUUUAGUUUUGGUUUAAUGAGGUCGCCAGAUGGAUCUCAUGUAGCUUUGGUUAAAGGGAAUCGCCAGAUGGGAUUUCAGGUUGACCGAGCUACCACACAUUUUUUAGUUCCAGUUGAAUGAGGUUGCCAGAUGGAAUCUCAUGUAGCUUUGGUUAAAGGGAACCGCCAGAUGGGAUUUCAGGUUGACCGAGCUACACACAUUUUUUAAGUUCCAGUUGAAUGAGGUCGCCAGAUGGGAUCUCAUGUAGCUUUGGUUAAAGGGAAUCGCCAGAUGGGAUUUCAGGUUGACCGAGCUACCAUAUUUUUUAGUUCCAGUUGAAUGAGGUCGCCAGAUGGGAUCUCAUGUAGCUUUGGUUAAAGGGAAUCGCCAGAUGGGAUUUCAGGUUGACCGAGCUACACAUAUUGUUUUUAGUUUUGGUUUAAUGAGGUCGCCAGAUGGGAUCUCAUGUUGGUUCUGGUUAAAGGGGAUCGCCGGACGGGAUCUCAGGUUAGCCCAACCACACAGGAUUUGGUUCUGGUUAAAGGGGAUCGUCGGACGCGAUCUCAGGUUAGCCCAACCACGCAGAUUUUGGUUUUGGUUCAAGGAGAUCGCCCGAUGGGAUCUCACAGAAAAAAAAAAGGAAAAAAAAAAGAAAGAAACAUUUAGAGUUUUUCUUUACAAAGCUUACUAUGCGAAACAUUGAGGAGUUUUGCUUCGUAAGCAUUGUAAAUAGGGGCAUCUGUUGCUACCCAAUUUUUGACCCAUGUUUUGAUAAAUUUUCAGAAAAAUCCAAAAAUAGCGAAAAACAUUGAAAAUCCAAAAAAAUACGUUUUUAAUACAUUUGCAUCGUUUUUUAGCAUUUUUAGCAUCGUCUCAAAAGAAUUUAAAUUUUCAAAGAUAUUUGGAACACUUUCAACUUUUCACGCGUCAUUUUUAAAAUCAUUGAUUUCCCGCAUUGCGUCGAUGUUGAUAUUUGCUCGCUUUCAAAAAUACAAAAAAAAUAAGAAAAAUCAAAAUUUACAAAAAAAGAGGAAAAGAGAAGGAAAGGAAAAGUUGAGGGACUAGUUUGAAAACCUAGCAAAACUUUUCCUAUAAAUACCAAGCUACACUGGUUUUUAAAGGGGGGGCAAUUUUGACAACAUAAAAAAAAUACAAAAAAAACCUAACCCUAAAAAACUUAAUCUUCUUCUUCCUGCAGCCGCCCCCCGGUUGAAAAUUUUCUCCCCUCUCUCAGCCGCACAUAACCCCCCGGUGGUCUCCAUUUUUCCCUCAAACCGGCGCCAUCCUUUCUUCCUUCUACCACACCGCCGGUCCCUCUCUGUCUCCCUUCCUCACACACUGCCAAGCUGGCCAUUACAACUCAAACAACCCACAUCAACCUCCCACAGAGCAGCCGUCCCAACUCAGCUUCUUUUCCCUCUCAGUUGCAGGAGCAAGAGACGAACGGAGUGGAGACCCAGCUCCCUCCUCACUUCGCCUCAGCAGCAGCGUCUCCUCAUCACAGCGCCGCCGUCUCUAGCUCCUUCUCCACGCACGGCUACUGUUGUAACCCAUUUUUGGGUCCCCACAAAAUAUAUAUAAAAAUACAUAGCCAAAGGAGGUUAGAAAAAUAACAGGAGGCAGAAGCACUCAGAAAGUGGUUGGAAAAUUGGGCAAUGAGGGUAAAAAUACAAAGAUUGGAUUUUUGACAGUAUAGUCUUGAAGGAGGAGAGCCCUGUUGAGAAGGAAAAUUUGAAAUUUGAGGAGAAAAGCCCAAAUUUAGAUGUUUAUGGGCUUAAUUUGAUUUUUAAAUGAAUUUAUAGGGGAUUUGAUUGCAAGAAAAAUUGAUUUUUAAGUCAAUUUGGGUUUUAAUUAGAAGAAAUUUAAGUUCUGGGGCCAAAAUAUAAUUUUUAGGAAUUUAUUAGGUCAAAUCAGGGGCCUAAUUGCAUAAAUAUUGAAGUUUAAGGGCCAAUUGGGGACUUAAUUAAGAAAAUUCGAAACCAGGGACCAAAUUGGAAGAGACGCGUAAAUGGAGGGGCUGUAAUUAAUUGAUUCAGGGGCCUAAUUGAAGAAAUUAGAAGUUUUUUUGAUCAAUUAAGGGCUCAAUUGCAUAAAUCAGAGGCCAAGGACUAAAGUGAAAAACGCGGCCAACAAGAGGGGCGGAGACCGAAAUUGGCAGGGAUGCAAUUGAAGAACAAAAAAGAUGAUUGAGGGCUGAUUUGAAAUUUGGCGCGUUUUGGCGCCACAUUUAAAUGAAACGGAGCUUUUUCUCCAAAACGACGCCGUUUCAUACAUUCAAGAAAAAAAAAAAAAAAAGAGAAAGAGCAGAACGGUGUCGUUUUGAACGACACUGUUCAUCUUCUUCCCCCCGAUCACGCAGCGGGGAGGAAGGAAAAGUGAAGCUUUUUUUUGAAUUUUUGCCGGCCACUCUCUCGCCUGGAGCCCACCGACCGGACACAAUGGCCGACCACCCACCGCGCACCACCCACCGAACCUUGGCAGUCGCACCAAUGGCCGACCAGCCGUUUGCUCCCCAUGAGAGCAGUACAAAGCCACGCCUUUGGCUCUAUAAAUAGGACCCCAAGAGCGCUGGUGGACGGAGAGGAAGGAGAGGACAGAGGGGGAAGAGAAAAAAAGAGAAAAACAGAGGAGAGACGGGGAGAAAAAACGAAAAAAACAGAGGAGAGAGAGAGGAAGAGGUAGAACGAAGGAGAGAGAAGGAAAAGAGGGGAACGAAAAAACAGAGAAGAGGAACGGGAAGAGAGGAAGAAUCAACCCGAAAACAAAAGAAAAAAAAAGCAAACCGAAAAAAACAAAGAGAAAAGGAGCAACGGAGAGAACGAACCAAACCGUCGGAAACAGUCGCAGCGCCACCAGCCUCCGCCACAGCGCCGCCAGAAACGCAGCAAGCCACCGCCUCCUCCGCGCCAGGUAACCCCUUCUUCCCCCCCUGUUCUGGCGUUUACGUUUUUUUUUCCUUCUCUGCAUGCAGAACGAAUAGCGUUCUGCAUGCAGAGGUGGGGGGGAAAUUAAUUCCCCCCCCGCCCGUUUUGAUCUGGGCCGGCCGGAUCCGGCCCAGUCCUGCCUUAUGGGCCGGAUCUGGCCCAGCCCUGUCUUCUGGGCCGGGUCUGGCCCAGAAGAGAAUAUUUAUUUUUUUGGGCCGAGAUCGGCCCAAUCCAUUUUGGGCCGAAAUCGGCCCAACAAUUUUGGGCUGAGUCCGGCCCAGUCGGUUGGGCCGGACCAGCCCAGCCCAUUUAGUAUUAUAUAUAUAUAUAUAUAUAUAUAUAUAUAUAUUAUAUUUUGUAUUAUUUAUAUAUAUAUAUAUAUAUAUAUAUAUGAAAAAAAAUUAUAAAAAUUUUACAAAAAUUAUAAAAAAAAUAUAUGUGAUUUUGCUGUAAUUUUAUUACUGUAUUUUGAUUAAUAUCGGUUGGUAUUUUUAUACUGUAAAGAUACAAAUCCGGUAUUAACAUACCCGGUUUUCAUCAAAACAUCAAAGAUUUCAAAAAUAAAAAAUAUCUUUUGCUUUCAAAAAUUUCUAAAAUAUCUUUAAAAAUAUUGUUGAUUUUUCUGCAUUUGCUUUAUCAAAGUGGAUUAAUAUUUGGUUGUAUUUUUAUACAGUAAGGAUACAAACCCAGUAUUAAAAUACCCGACUUGCGUCAAAACGUAUAAAAUACAUAUUUAAAAAAUGUUUUGUUUUAAAAUACGGCCUAGUCUCUCCAAUAUAUAUAUAUAAAUAUUAUAACAUCAUCUUUUUCAUAUAACAAAGAAAAUUUCAAAACAAUAUAUGUAUUAACAUGCAUUUUGGCUUCAAUAACCAGUUUAUUCAAGCCAUGAGAACUAGGCCAAUAUUUUAAAAAUUCUAAAAAUAUUUUUGUCCUCUUUUAGUAUUUGGGAUUACGAAUUUAUACGUAAAACGUAUUCUUGAUAUUAAAAAUAUGUUUUUUUAGACAUUAGAACGGUUAAGCUUUACCCGAUAAGAUAAGGACCUCCUUAUUGAGGAGGACUUUUCUUGAACCAUAGACGGACUAACAAUUAGGAAACACAACGAAACCCUGAAUUUUAUCAGACAAAUAAACCAUGCAGCUUACCUUAGGUAGGGCGUAUUUGGGGUGCUAAUACCUUCCCUUUACGCAACCAGUCCCCGUACCCAAUCUCUGAGACCAGUUAGGGUUCCUAGUGACCAAAAUACUAGGUGGCGACUCCCAUUCCAUUAUCCACCAAUAAAAGACUAGAUUUUCUUAUCCCUCGUAUUGGCCACAUAAAUAAAGAUAUAUACCAUAUACACUUCCUAUCCUUUUUUUAAAAAAAGUGGAAUACUCGCCGCGACGCCGCGCACCCGCGACAGCUACACCCAACCGAGACCCAGCUCCUCCAUAUCAACGGAUCCUCUUCUCCUUCGGUCUCCUCGUCGCCUCCUUCUUCGGCUGAGCAGUGCCGGCUCCAGCCUCCCCCUUAGCAGUGGCCGCGGCAGCAGCAACCCACCGCCGGGUCUCCCUCAACCGACCCAGCAGCUGCUCCCACUCCAGCUUUCCCAGACCGUCUUGUUCUCUUUUUCUUCCAGCGGCGGCGGCAGCAGCCAGCCACCUCGUCGCCUCCUUCAAUCAGCGUCGCCGACCGGACAAACGCUCCCUCUCUCCACCGCAGCUCCAACAACUACAGACGACAACCGUGCCAGAUCUGUCACCGGAGCAAACCAUAACUAAAAAAAGGAAUUAAGAACA